rnacentral:rRNA from 1 species
UGCAUAUCCAAAAAGCGGAGGAAAAGAAACCAACAGGGAUUGCCUCAGUAGCGGCGAGUGAAGCGGCAAGAGCUCAGAUUUGAAAUCGCCUCGGCGAGUUGUAAAUUGCAGGUUGGAGUCUUUGUGGCGGCGUGUGUCUAAGUCCCUUGGAACAGGGCGCCAUUGAGGGUGAGAGCCCCGUGCGGCACGCGUCUAAGCUUUAAGACCCUUCUGACGAGUCGAGUUGUUUGGGAAUGCAGCUCUAAGUGGGUGGUAAAUUCCAUCUAAGGCUAAAUACUGGCGAGAGACCGAUAGCGAACAAGUACUGUGAAGGAAAGAUGAAAAGCACUUUGAAAAGAGAGUGAAACAGCACGUGAAAUUGUUGAAAGGGAAGGGUAUUGGGCUCGACAUGGGGACUGCGCACCGUUGCUUCUUGUAGGCGGCGCUCUGUGCGGUUUCUGGGCCAGCAUCAGUUUUUGCCGCGGGAGAAUGGGGGGAGGAACGUGGCUCUUCGGAGUGUUAUAGCCUCUCUCAGAUGCCGCGAGCGGGGACUGAGGUCUGCGAUUCGUUCAAGGAUGCUGGCACAACGGCGCAAUACCGCCCGUCUUGAACCACGGACCAAA